rnacentral:lncRNA from 1 species
AUAUGCUCAAUUGUUAUUAAUAUAAAAAAUACAAUCAAUGAUGGUUGUUUUGAGGAGAUAGGGAGAUGAGUUGGGUACUUAGGGAUUGGAGUUUUGUUAAUUUCCUAGUGAAUAGGGGUGAGAAUAGAUCAAGAAACAUAAGACCCGUUCUCAUUUGAAUCUCAUUUACACUACAAUUUUAUUUAAAGAAAUUGUAAGAAGUAUCUCUAAUUAAUGGCCGAUCUUCUCUUGCUUUCGCCUUCCCUAUCAUUGUUUUUAUACUUGUUGGUACUGAGAUCUGUUCAGACGGACCACGAGUCGAACAUGUCUCAUGCCCCUUGCCCGAGCAGCGGGCCUGAACCGACGAAGGCCCAGGGAGGCCUUUAGAGGACUUCUAUAAAUACAUUUCCUGUUCCAACAAGGGAGGAGGUUGAUGAUCAUUGAAAUGAAUAUAAAGAAUUGUGUAUGAGCCCCACUAACUCAACCCACACACCAUCAACCACCAUCAAUACUGUUAAUAUUUAUUAGUUUUUUGUACUAUUCCAUGAAAGACAGUUGAUGGGUUCUUUUCUUUCUACUAUUGAUUAUUAAUUGUGUCAACGUUACCUUGUAACGCAAACAAAUCAAAAUAUUUUAAUUAUGAAAUGCAAAUCUUAUUUGUUAAUAGACCGACAUUGAAAGUCAAAUGUUUGAAUUGAAUAAUAGCUAGCUAGCUAGAUAGACCAAUUUGAAUUCUAUACUUGUUGAUUAAUAUGUGCAAGACAAGUAAUCAAAGAAAUCAUGCAUAAUGAAAAUAUUUUUAUUUUAUGUAACUUUGAUAUAUCAAUGGAUUGUAAACAUUUUCAAAUUUUGUAAAAAGAUAACAUCUGUUAUAAAAAAAAAUAAAGGAAUAUAAAAGGUGGGGUUUAUUUGGGUUUAUCAUGUUAUAUUCAAAACAAAGAUGGUUUUGUGUAUGUUUGCUUAUCCAGCCAAGAUGGUAGCCAAUGCUUUUCAUGACCAACUGUGUUGCCACUUGAUACAAUCAUAAUCAAAAGUACAAUUGCAGACAUUAUUGAAAGGGGGAAAACAAGUACAAAAAUGAAAAUGAAUGUUUAGAAAAUUCAAGGGGA